CAAGUCCAGUCCUCUCCCUCCCCUCAACCUAGUGCCGCCACUCGUGCCCACCAUGCCGUCGCACCGCCGCCGCCGCUGGUGAACGGAUCCGUGCACCCCGUACACCUGCCUUGGCCUCCUCCCCCCUCCCCUCAACCUAGCUCCACCACUCGCGCCCACCUCCGUCCGCCGGUGGCGCAGGGGAGGAGCCGGCCAUCCUCAGGGUGGCGCUGGGCUCCGGCAAGCUGCGCAUCGAGGGGUCGCUGGGCUUUGGCAAGCUUCCGCACGCGGCGCCAGCUCACCGACCGCGCCGUGCUCGUGGAGCAGAGCUGGUGGAAGCUGCUGGACUGUGCCGUGCUCGAAUUUGGACGCCUCUCUCUCUCUCUCAUGUUGCCAUGCUGGACGCAAGAACCGAGCAGCGGGCAGAUGAAGGAGCAGUUCGUCGUGGAGAUGCUCGCUAGGCCCUCGAGUGCGGCGGGGUCAGGCCCCGGGAGAUCGCAGCAGCGUCAGGAGGACGCCUCCUCAGCUCAAGGCAGCAGGCCGCAGUCGUCGGCUGCUUCUGAUACACCGGUGGCGCAGCAACCUGACGCGAACUCUGUGCGAGCGAAGCUCGAGCUCGCCAAGAACACCAAGCUCGAGGCGGCCAAGAGGAAGCUCCAGGAAGGCUACCAAGAGUUUGAUAAUGCAAAGAAGCAGAGAAGCAUACAGAUGGUUCAUCCCCAGAACCUGCCCAAGCAAGCGAACAACACCCAGAAUUUCCAACCUAGCGGGCCAGCGGCAAGCCAAGGAAUGGCAGCAACAGGAAUUGAGGACUAAGUACAACAACAUGGAGCCGGAUGCUGUUGAUUUCUUUGGGGAAUGUAUGAAUAGUCCCCGAAAUGGUCAUACUCUGCUUGCAAAUGAGAUAUAUGAGAAAAUGGUUGCCGAGAAGGAAAGAGAGCUAGAAGAAGGAGAAGCACAAAAGUCACCCUCCAAGAUUGUUGCUGAUAGUCUCAGCCAGAUCAGUCGCUCAUCCACCUUCCUUCCAAACAUUGGUGUCUGUUUGAAUGCUUCAAACCUUUGUGGUGGAACCUUUGUAUGUUUGAACCUCUGUUGUGGAAGAACUAGUGUGCUGGAAUUAUGUAUGACUUGUGAUG